CUGGCUGGGUGUUUGUUUCCGGACCCGCGGAGCUCAGUGUUGUGUGUCCGUUGCGUGUUUGGUGUCCAUUGCUCUGUCCGGUUUUCUCCGCGAGGCUCCAAGUGACUCCGCCAUUGCCUCCAUGGCCCUGGGACCUGCAGGUACUGGAAGGUCCAUUGGGAAGAUGUCGGGACACCACAGAAGACAAGAACCAAUUCUGUUAGCCUAUCGAAAAUGCAAGAUGCAGUUCUUUCAUGGGAACACUUAUUAGAACUUAAGAAUAAUCAUUGUGAACAACUUACAGUAAAUAUUAAACAAAUGGAAAAUAUGGUUGGUGUACUACAAAAGGAGCUAUGUGAAGCAAAAGAAACACAAUUACAGUUAGAGCAUGAAAAAGGUCAAUGGGAACAAGAACGCUACAGUUUGAGAAUGACCUUAAAAGAAGAA
rnacentral:lncRNA from 1 species